UACGGAGGGUGCGAGCGUUUGUCCGGAGUUACUGGGCGUAAAGGGUGUGUAGGCGGUUGUUUAAGUUUGGUGUGAAAUCUCCCGGCUCAACUGGGAGGGUGCGCCGGAAUACUGAAUGACUUGGAGUGCGGGAGAGGAAAGUGGAAUUCCGUGGUGUAGCGGUGAAAUGCGUAGAUAUCAGGAGGAACACCGGUGGUGUAGACGGCUUUCUGGACCGUAACUGACGCUGAGACACGAAAGCGUGGGUAGCAAACAGG
rnacentral:rRNA from 1 species